rfam:Ovis aries breed Texel chromosome 2, whole genome shotgun sequence.
UUCCAGGUGGCUCAGAGGUUAAAGCAUCUGCCUGCAAUGCGGGAGACCUGGGUUUAAUCCCUGGGUUGGGAA